AUUGAACGCUGGCGGCAGGCUUAACACAUGCAAGUCGAACGAGUGGCGGACGUGUGAGUAAUGCUUGGAACACUAGCUUAUGGAGGGGGAUAACUACUGGAAACUGUAGCUAAUACCGCGUACCAUAGGAUGAGCCCAAGUGGGAUUAGAUAGUUGGUGAGGUAACUGCUCACCAGGCCGACGAUCUCUAGCUGGUCUGAGCGGAUGACCAGACACUCGGGGACUGGGCAACGGCCCAGACUCCUACGGGAGGCAGAAGUGGGGAAUAUUGCGCAAUGGGCGCAAACUGACGCAGCAAUGCCGAGUUAAUGAAGAAGGACUUCGGGUUGUAAAGGUCUUUUGGUAGCGAGGCGUUAAUUACAGCAGAAGCACCGGCUAACGUCGUGCCAGCAGCCGCGGUAAUUC
rnacentral:rRNA from 1 species